AUGGAUCUAGUGGGCAGCGUCGGCCAAAUCGUCAAAAUCGCGCUGCAGAUACAGGAGCUGGUGGAGACGGCUUACCAGAACAAGGAGGACUGCAAGAAGAUCGCAAUGCGCGUGAAAAGGCUUCGCGCAAUCGUGGAACGCCUCAGCAGCACCGAUGUCGCCAGCGAGAAAACCAUGAUUGAUGCGCUCAACGACCUCGAGGAGACGUUCCUUCAGGCCCUCAAGCUCGUCAAGGCCUGCCAGACCAAGAACAAAGUGUGGCUCUUCCUCAGGGCCGGGAACGUAUCCAAACAGCUGCGUGAGGUCAAGGACGAGAUGAUGGAUCAUAUGCACAUUGCCAACUUCGGCAACUGCGCCCAGCAGACUGUCAUUAUCACCGAAGCACUGAUUAGAGACCCGGCAGUGAAUGCAAAGAAAUAUGUCAAAGUUCUGUCGAUGCAAGGAGAGCAGGAAAUGCAGGUGGUUGGUAGCCGUUUGGUAUGCCAGGACACAGAUAUUCGUAUUGCUGAGGGAGAUCAGGUGGAGGACGAAAAUGCCAGUUACCCAAACGAUGUUACAAGGUCUGAAAUUCAUGGCGAGGAAGAAAGUUUUCCAGCAGGAAGCUUGGAGGAUACUAUAUCACAAUUCAGAAAUUUCAGUUCAUCUGAACUGAAGGCAAUUACAAAAAACUUUUCAAAUCAACAUGUGAUUGGCAAAGGUGGUUCUGCUAUCGUUUACAAGGGUGUAUUGGCCAACGGAGCAGAGGUUGCCAUCAAGAGUUUCUGUGUGGAUGCUUCAGAAGAUGGAAAUGUAGUGCGUUAUGCUGAAGUUUUCUCAGUGCUACAACAGCACGAGAAUGUAGUUAAAUUUCUGGGAUAUUGCCACGAAACAAAGAUUCAAAUGGUUCCAAUCGAAGGCAAAUGUGUGGCUGCUGAAAGGCGUCAUAUGUUGGUGGUGGAAGAGUACAUGCCCAACGGAAGCUUGUCCGAUAUUAUCGAUGGGUCAUCGCAGCAGCUGGACUGGACCUCCGCAUUUCGUAUCAUUCGAGGGAUUGCACAGGGCGUAGCUCACAUCCACACCAAAGGGGUUGUCCAUUUGGAUCUGAAACCAGCCAACAUCCUCUUGGAUUCCAACAUGAAUCCUAAGAUUUGUGACUUUGAGAGGUCUAAAAUACUGAAACCAGCCAACAGCAAAGGGGCUGUCCAUUGGGAUCUGAAACCAGACAACAUCCUCUUGGAUUCCAACAUGAAUCCUAAGAUUUGUGACUUUGGGAUAUCUAAAAUACUGAAUCAAAAGGAUGAAGAUGUCGCUGAGAAUGUGACGCAAGAGUUGGCGGGAACACUGGGCUACUUACCUCCGGAAUACAUCGCAGAUGGUAUUUUUUCAUUUAAACAUGAUGUGUUCAGCUUCGGCAUUCUCCUCCUCCAUACCAUUAGCAAGUCAGGACUUCUGCAAGAUUCAACUGAUUGGAUUCCAAAUGCAAUUAAAGGGGAAGACAACAUGGACAGCUUAUUAGAUCCUUCAUCGCGUAAUGAGUCCGAGCUAAAGGAGAUAAAAAGAUGCAUGGACAUCGGACUGCAGUGCACCGCGAAGGAGCGGACUGAAAGACCCACCAUGUCGGAUGUUAUUGACUUGCUAGACGGCAAGGAACUGCUCCGGAAGCCCCCAACGGGGAAUAAGGCUUCGUCAUUUAAGAAGAAAGGCAAGGCAUGA
rnacentral:rRNA from 1 species